CAGUCGCCGCGGUAAUACGGAGGGGGCUAGCGUUGUUCGGAAUUACUGGGCGUAAAGCGCACGUAGGCGGCUUUGUAAGUCAGAGGUGAAAGCCCGGGGCUCAACCCCGGAAUUGCCUUUGAGACUGCAUCGCUUGAAUCCAGGAGAGGUGAGUGGAAUUCCGAGUGUAGAGGUGAAAUUCGUAGAUAUUCGGAAGAACACCAGUGGCGAAGGCGGCUCACUGGACUGGUAUUGACGCUGAGGUGCGAAAGCGUGGGGAGCAAACAGGAUUAGAUACCCCGGUAGUCCCUGUCUCUUAUAC
rnacentral:rRNA from 1 species